rnacentral:tRNA from 1 species
ACCUGACUGGCUCAGUUGGUGGAGCAUGAGACUCUUGAUUAUGGGGUUGUGGGUUCAAGUCCCACGUUGGGUG